rfam:Canis lupus familiaris chromosome 1, whole genome shotgun sequence.
UGGGGGAGGCCGGAUCCUGGGCUGUGUCCCGGCGCCCUGUGCUCCGGCACCUGCGCUGUUGGAUUCACGCUCCCGCCCCGCAGCCCCCU